CGCGCUCCUCUCAUCCCAAUGGAGCACUGCACCCACUGGCUUCUUUGAGCAGUGCGAUGCUGACCAAGACAAUUACACUCGCUCUCGAGGAGUGGGCCAACUGCUUUGGGAAUCAAAGAGCAGGACAUCGACAACGACCUUGUCAUCUAAGCACAUCUACCAUUGAUGCUUCCUAGUCACUAUUGGGGCGAGGUGCUAACCCUUAAGUUAAAAUCAAAGUAAAGGUGCUAAUUGCGAUUUAUAACAACCUGCAUAUACCACUAAACAUUCAUUAUGUUUAAAAAAAAUGCACAAUCCACACAGUAACUAUCAGUGACUGAACACUACAGUUUUUAAGUUGGCCAAGCAGCUGUUGGACAGGCUUUAUUAAAGAGAGUUAAAUAUGAUGAACGAUGUAUGUUGCAAAAUACACCUUUUUGUUGUUUUGGAAAUGGAUCCACAAAUGUUUUUUUACACUCAGAAUCAGGGCUUGAAUUGUAAGUUUGGAGUUUUGAUGGUGGAAAUGUACAAAAACAAAAUAAAGUUUCCAAA